rnacentral:rRNA from 1 species
GGAUCCCAUCAGAACUCCGCAGUUAAGCGUGCUUGGGCGAGAGUAUUACUAGGAUGGGU